UACGUAGGGGGCGAGCGUUGUCCGAAGUUACUGGGCGUAAAGAGUGCGUAGGUGGCUUGUUAAGAUACAUCUGAAAGGUGACAGCUCAACUGUCAAUGGUGGUGUAAGACUGGCAGGCUUGAGGCAAGCAGAAGAGUGUGGAACUCCGAGUGUAGCGGUGGAAUGCGUAGAGAUUCGGAAGAACACCAGUGGCGAAGGCGGCUCACUGGCCCGAUACUGACGCUGAGGCACGAAAGCGUGGGGAGCAAACAGG
rnacentral:rRNA from 1 species